CCUACGGGAGGCAGCAGUGGGGAAUAUUUGGCAAUGGGCGCAAGCCUGACCCAGCAACGCCGCGUGAAGGACGAAGGCUUUCGGGUUGUAAACUUCUUUUGUUCGGGACGAAGCAAGUGACGGUACCUGACGAAUAAGCCACGGCUAACUACGUGCCAGCCGCCGCGGUAAUACGUAGGUGGCAAGCGUUAUCCGGAUUUACUGGGUGUAAAGGGCGUGUAGGCGGGACUGCAAGUCAGAUGUGAAAACCACGGGCUCAACCUGUGGCCUGCAUUUGAAACUGUAGUUCUUGAGUACUGGUGAGGCAGACGGAAUUCCUAGUGUAGCGGUGAAAUGCGUAGAUAUUAGGAGGAACACCAGUGGCGAAGGCGGUCUGCUGGACAGCAACUGACGCUGAGGCGCGAAAGCGUGGGGAGCAAACAGGAUUAGAUACCCCGGUAGUC
rnacentral:rRNA from 1 species